rnacentral:rRNA from 1 species
GGUAAGAGAGGUGAAGGGAGCGGCGGCAAUGCGUUGGGCGAAAGGGUUGGCGGGAAUGGUUGGGCGUGAUGAGCUGGUGUGGGGGUGUGGGGUCUGUCGUGAAAGCCCACGGGUUAACCGUGGGGCUGCGGUGGAUACGGGCAGACUAGAGGCAGGUAGGGGAGAAUGGAAUUCCCGGUGUAGCGGUGAAAUGCGCAGAUAUCGGGAGGAACACCGGUGGCGAAGGCGGUUCUCUGGGCCUGUACUGACGCUGAGGAGCGAAAGCGUGGGGAGCGAACAGGAUUAGAUACCCCAGUAGUC